rnacentral:rRNA from 1 species
GACGGAGGAUGCAAGCGUUAUCCGGAAUGAUUGGGCGUAAAGCGUCCGCAGGUGGCAAUUCAAGUCUGCUGUUAAAGCGCAGGGCUUAACUCUGUAAAGGCAGUGGAAACUGAAUAGCUAGAGUGUGGUAGGGGCAGAGGGAAUUCCCAGUGUAGCGGUGAAAUGCGUAGAGAUUGGGAAGAACAUCGGUGGCGAAGGCGCUCUGCUGGACCAUAACUGACACUCACGGGACGAAAGCUAGGGGAGCGAAUGGG